rnacentral:tRNA from 1 species
GGGCCAGUAGCUCAAUUGGCAGAGCAAUUGCCUCUUAAGCAAUCGGUUGAAGGUUCGAGUCCUUCCUGGCUCA